rnacentral:rRNA from 1 species
UACGUAGGGUGCGAGCGUUGUCCGGAAUUAUUGGGCGUAAAGAGCUCGUAGGCGGUUUGUCGCGUCGGCCGUGAAAUCUCCACGCUUAACGUGGAGCGUGCGGUCGAUACGGGCAGACUUGAGUUCGGUAGGGGAGACUGGAAUUCCUGGUGUAGCGGUGAAAUGCGCAGAUAUCAGGAGGAACACCGGUGGCGAAGGCGGGUCCCUGGGCCGAUACUGACGCUGAGGAGCGAAAGCGUGGGGAGCGAACAGG